GCUUCAUUCGGGCUAAUGAACCCUGUGCGGUGCCGGUUUACUGGGCUCUUUGGGGGGAGUCAGUUUAAACGUGUCAGGCUCUGGGCGCGCAGCAGUUUCUGGGGGUGAGUGCGCUCUGGCGGGUUCGGAGUGCCGUGCGGGGAAAGGAGAGGUCGCCAAGGUCUCCAGGCAGCCGGGUCUGACCGGGUGCUGCUGCAGUCCCAGCGCUGCCGCUGCCCCCUCGGGAAGGCAGGUCCAGCCGCCGACUGCCCUUCCAGCUCGGGACCCUACCUCUCCCCCCGACCUCAGCGGAAGACUCGGCCUCAUGCACCGCAGCUGGGAAGGGAGGUGCGGGGCCACCGACUGCCCAGCCGCCGCCCGCCAGCGGCCUCGGAGCUGAGCACCGACUCCCGCUGCUUCUCCUGCAGCGCCUCCCUGGAGCAGGGCUAGCUCCCACCGGGGCUGCGCGGCGGAGCUGAGCGCGGGCAUCACGGGGCGCCAGGGUCUGGAUCCCACAACCCCUGGAGCGGGGCCACUGCGGAGCCGAGAAGCCACCGGGUCCCGGCGGGUGAAAAUGCGGUUGCUCGGAAACUAAGCCCGCCUUGAGGAACGGUCGGGCUUUCCGUUUUGGGAUUUUCACAGGACCAAGUCACAUCCUUUUCUCCUAAGGCUCAAUUGCUCCCUGAUUUACAGCACCUGCUGAAAACAUGCUGUGAUGUAAUUAGCUGUGGCACUGGAGAACCAGAGAAGAGUAGAGUUUGUUCCAAUCAAAGGUAAAUAUGUUCUGAGAUGACUGACUUUGCACUUCCUUCAAAACCUCCUAUUGCCUGUCUCCCAAAAGCCCACUUAGGACCAGGCCCCUGAAGAGGAACCCAAGGGAGCAAGCUCCAGUGCUUUACUUUUGCAGAGAGAGAAAGAAAAAAAGAGAUUGCUGUACUGAGCUUCCUUCAAUGCAAUGAAGAUUGAGUUCAAACCUGUGUCAAGCACAUGGCCAAGGAGGGAUUUGAUUUAUUUUUAAAGGAUGUAUUUGCUUGUUUGUCUGUAUGUUUUGUGUAAGAGAUAACAGAGAACAGAGCAUGUCUUAGUCACCUGCAAUACUGGAGUUCCAACCUGGGGUCUCACACAUUAGAGGGGUGUGCCUGGUACUAGUUGAACCACAUCUCUGCCUACUCACUUACUGAUAUUUUUCUCUUUUAUUUUCUUUUUUCUUCUUCUUUUUUUUUUUUACAUAAACACCAUUCCCACCACCAAAAGACUGUGUCCUAUCCCAAUCACCCCCACCCACCCCUUUUUCUUUACUUUUUAUUUUUUAAUUUAUUUUUAUUAUUUUUAUUUAUUUGAUAAAGACAGCCAGAAAUUGAGAGGGAAAGGGAUGAUAAGGAGAGAGAGACAUUUUCAGUCCUGCUUCACCACUCGCAAAGUUUUCCCCCUGUAGGUGGGGGCCAGGGGCUCAAACCUGGCUCCUUGUGCACUGUAACAUGUGCACUC